GAUGAACGCUGGCGGCGUGCCUAAUACAUGCAAGUCGAGCGAAUGGAUUAAGAGCUUGCUCUUAUGAAGUUAGCGGCGGACGGGUGAGUAACACGUGGGUAACCUGCCCAUAAGACUAGGAUAACUCCGGGAAACCGGGGCUAAUACCGGAUAACAUUUUGAACCGCAUGGUUCGAAAUUGAAAGGCGGCUUCGGCUGUCACUUAUGGAUGGACCCGCGUCGCAUUAGCUAGUUGGUGAGGUAACGGCUCACCAAGGCAACGAUGCGUAGCCGACCUGGGAGGGUGAUCGGCCACACUGGGACUGAGACACGGCCCAGACUCCCACGGGAGGCAGCAGUAGGGAAUCUUCCGCAAUGGACGAAAGUCUGACGGAGCAACGCCGCGUGAGUGAUGAAGGCUUUCGGGUCGUAAAACUCUGUUGUUAGGGAAGAACAAGUGCUAGUUGAAUAAGCUGGCACCUUGACGGUACCUAUCCAGAAAGCCACGGCUAACUACGUGCCAGCAGCCGCGGUAA
rnacentral:rRNA from 1 species